CUCUUCUAUAUAUCGUUUUUGUUUUUUUUUUCCCUUCCAACCCGCCUCGAUUUCCAGACGUAUCACCCCCACCAUUACAAUCCAUUCAGAUGCAUUGUCUUCCUCUCGACGCUUCCCACUGACGGGCGAUAACCAUCCAUCUCUCUCUAAACUUCCGCUCCAAAUUGACCUUAUACCUUUUCUAAAGAUCGAUUUUGGGUACCCGUCGUUUCCCUUUUAUCGACCAGAACUUCACAAAUUGAACGUUUCGGGAUUCAGUACGAUGCUACCCGGUGAGGAGUUAAGGAAAUAAAAGGAUUGUUGUCAGCGACUCCUAACGAUUCCUCCUUGAUUUCACCUAAUCUGAAACUCUUCGUUGCCUUCUGAUGUUAUGUUCCCUCUCGCCUCCCUUCCUAUUUCAUUAGGGCUCGGAUUCCUCUGUUAACCAGAAGAAUUUGCAUGGUCUAAGGUUCUCAAAUCAGACUCUGUUCUUACUUCUUACAUAACAAUAUCCUUCUUAGUGGAAUAACCUAGACAGUUAUAUCGCAUCUUUCAAAAUUCAUUUAAAUAGAAAGAUUACCAUAAGUGCAGCUAAUGAUUUUGAACUGGGAAGCAUGAUUUAUAAAGUCCUACAAAAGGUAAUCUUAAUUUUUUUAUUAAGUAACUUUAAUUCUGAACGUCCCUCAAGAAAUCAACAGACUAAGGUGCAGGAUUAACUAUCAUGCUCUCAAGUUUCUUCCAGAGAUUGAUGAUAUGGAUGAACGACUGGUGGCAAUUAUGAAAAAUUUAACAGGGAGUCCAAAUCCUUUUAUAUUUGAGAAGGGGUGAUAGAGCUUUCAUUUUGUGGCUUUGUGGAGAUAAGGGCAGAGAAGCUUUGAUGGGAUUAUACAGAUUAAAGGAAUGACUUGUGCGAUUUAAGGUUAGAUGUUAUAAACUAAUGUUUUUUUAUUGGUAAUAUUGGAAAGAAACUAUUCAUCUGUAUUUUGGAAAGGCCAAACACACAUAAAUGAAAAAAGUGGGGAGGGUGUAAACAAUAUAUCUAGUAAAGAGACUAAAACAAUUAAGGCUUCAAGGAUUCUUAAGGAAUUAUGUGAUAAAGAUCUCAUUCAGCAACAUGUUGGAUAGGUAUGAUUUUAAACAAUCAA